rnacentral:rRNA from 1 species
CAGCAGCCGCGGGAAUACGAAGGGGGCUAGCGUUGUUCGGAAUUACUGGGCGUAAAGGGCGCGUAGGCGGCCAUUCAAGUUAGAUGUGAAAGCCCUGGGCUCAACCUAGGAAUUGCAUUUGAUACUGUUUGGCUUGAGUUCGGGAGAGGUGAGUGGAAUUCCCAGUGUAGAGGUGAAAUUCGUAGAUAUUGGGAAGAACACCAGUGGCGAAGGCGGCUCACUGGACCGACACUGACGCUGAGGCGCGAAGGCGUGGGGAGCAAACAGGAUUAGAUACCCGUGUAGUCCCUGUCUCUUAUAC